rnacentral:rRNA from 1 species
UGGGGAAUAUUGCACAAUGGGGGAAACCCUGAUGCAGCAACGCCGCAUGAAGGAAGACGGUUUUCGGAUUGUAAACUUCUGUUCUUAGUGAAGAAUAAUGACGGUAGCUAAGGAGCAAGCCACGGCUAACUACGUGCCAGCAGCCGCGGUAAUGCGUAGGUGGCAAGCGUUGUCCGGAAUUACUGGGUGUAAAGGGAGCGCAGGCGGGAGACCAAGUCAGCUGUGAAAACUACGGGCUUAACCUGUAGACUGCAGUUGAAACUGGUUUUCUUGAGUGAAGUAGAGGUUGGCGGAAUUCCGAGUGUAGCGGUGAAAUGCGUAGAUAUUCGGAGGAACACCGGUGGCGAAGGCGGCCAACUGGGCUUUAACUGACGCUGAGGCUCGAAAGUGUGGGGAGCAAACAGGAUUAGAUACC